rnacentral:rRNA from 1 species
AUGAAGAACCAUAUUAUGGGAUACUUCUCAAGACUCUUCACCUCGGAAGUUAAUCAACCUGACCCGAGGGUCCUAUCUCUUGUCAAAAGGAAAGUAACAGAUGAAAUGAAUAAUGCUCUUCUAGCCCCUUAUACGGCCGAGGAGGUUCAGAAGGCCCUUUUUGAUAUUGGAGAUUUAAAAGCACCGGGUCCGGAUGGGUUACAUGCUAUUUUUUAUAAAAGAUUUUGGCCCAUGUUAGGGGAUGACCUAAUAGAAGAGGUACUCCGGGCGGUGAAUACUUGUACUAUUUGUGAUGGUUGGAAUGAGACUACAAUUGUAAUGAUCCCAAAGAUUAAUUCUCCCGAAAAGGUAACUCAAUUUCGA